rnacentral:rRNA from 1 species
UACGUAGGGUGCGAGCGUUGUCCGGAAUUAUUGGGCGUAAAGGGCUCGUAGGCGGUUUGUCGCGUCGGGAGUGAAAACACCGGGCUUAACUCGGUGCUUGCUUCCGAUACGGGCAGACUAGAGGCAUGCAGGGGAGAACGGAAUUCCUGGUGUAGCGGUGAAAUGCGCAGAUAUCCAGGGGAACGCCGGAGGAGAAAUCGGGUCGCUGGGCCUUUCCUGACGCUGAGGUGCGAAAGCCAGGGGAGCGAACGGG